rnacentral:rRNA from 1 species
AUGCGUUUCAUCUUCUGGAACAUCCGAGGCUUCGGCCACGCUGGGAGGCGGACCCAGUUAAAAGAGUUCAUUAGGAACGAAGAAAUCGACAUGGUCGGCUUGCAAGAGACUAUCAAGGCCGAGUUCAACCAUCGCGACCUGCUAGGUGUCGACCCGUUGGAGCGUUUUGUUUGGCAUUGGGUGCCUGCGUUAGGUCACUCGGGGGGCUUGCUGCUAGGAGUUAACCUAGUUUGCUUAGAGGUGGUGGCUUGGGACGCCGGCCGUUUCUUCCUGUCGGCACACGUGCGACACCGCGCCACUCUCCAAGAGUGGGUAGUGAUUGCCGUGUAUGGCCCGGCCGAUCACUCGCUUUCGCUCGAGUUCUUGGGAGAACUCCAGUCCAAGGUGAUGUCUUUGGGCGCGAGCAACCUACCUCUGCUGGUGGGCGGUGAUUUCAACUUGAUCCGUUCGGGAGCGGACAAGAAUAACGGUAUUAUUAACUGGACAAGGGUGGUCAUGUUUAAUAAUGCUAUCGCAUCAAUGGCACUUAGGGAAGUGGCUCGCGUGGGGGCUCGAUACACCUGGACCAACAAACAGCUAACGCCGGUGCGAUCGGUCUUGGACAGGGUUUUCAUGUCCUCGGAGUGGGAGGUGUUGUUUCCCAUGUGCUCUCUGCACGCCGAAACCAGGAUUGGGUCGGACCACGUCCCCCUCAUCCUUUCCUCGGGGGAGGAACGGCUAAAACGCAGCCCGCGUUUCUUCUUUGAAACCGCGUGGCUUGAGUCCCCGGACUUUGAGGAAAUCUUCCUUUCGAAAUGGGAGAAUUGUGUUGCUCGCAUCGGGCGCGUGCGCGGUCCGAUGGAGUUCUGGAUUGCCGCAGGGGCGGGUAUGCGUGCGGCUCUUAAAGGGUGGGGAGCUAACCAGGGUCGUGAGGAUAAGCUGUUAAGAUCGCGCCUGACCGAGGAGCUCGCCCAGUUGGACGCUGCGGCAGAUGUGCAGGUCUUCUCCGAGCAGGACUGGGCCCAGCGCUACGCGCUUGAAGCCCAAGUCGAGUCCCUCCUCAGGGCCGAGGAGGAGUACUGGCGAAGGCGCGGUGGAAUAAAGUGGACGCUCAAGGGUGACGCGAACACGAAAUAUUUCCACGCCUACGCUAAUGGCAGACGCCGUAAGUGCGCCAUCCUGAGACUUUAA